rnacentral:rRNA from 1 species
CCCUUAGAGUUUGAUCCUGGCUCAGAAUCAACGCUGGCGGCGUGCCUAACACAUGCAAGUCGAGCGAGAAAAGGGGGGCAACCCCCUGAGUAAAGCGGCGCACGGGUGAGUAACACGUGGGUAAUCUGCCCUGGAGUGGGGAAUAACACCGGGAAACCGGUGCUAAUACCGCAUACGAUCACGAGGUCUGCGGACUUUGUGAUGAAAGGAGCAAUUCGCUCUAGGAGGAGCCCGCGGCUGAUUAGCUAGUUGGUGAGGUAAUGGCUCACCAAGGCUACGAUCAGUAUCCGGUCUGAGAGGACGGUCGGACACACUGGAACUGAGACACGGUCCAGACUCCUACGGGAGGCAGCAGUGGGGAAUUUUUGGCAAUGGGGGAAACCCUGACCAAGCAACGCCGCGUGGGUGAUGAAGUCUCUUGGGACGUAAAACCCUUUCGACGGGGAAGAAAACCGCAAGGUUUGACGGUACCCGUAGAAGAAGCCCCGGCUAACUCCGUGCCAGCAGCCGCGGUAAUACGGGGGGGGCAAGCGUUGUUCGGAAUUACUGGGCGUAAAGGGCGCGUAGGCGGUUCGUUAAGUUGGAUGUGAAAACUCUGGGCUCAACCCAGAGCCUGCAUCCAAAACUGGCGGGCUAGAGUUCUGGAGGGGGUAGCGGAAUUCCUGGUGUAGCGGUGAAAUGCGUAGAUAUCAGAGGAACACCGGUGGCGAAGGUGGCUACCUGGACAGAAACUGACGCUGAGGCGCGAAAGCUAGGGAGCAAACAGAUUAGAUACCCCGGUAGUCCUAGCCCUAAACGAUGAAUACUUGGUGUCUGGAGUUUAAUUCUCCGGGUGCGUCGCUAACGUUUAGUAUCCGCCUGGGGAGUACGUACGCAG